AGAGUUUGAUCCUGGCUCAGGAUGAACGCCAGCUACAGGCUUAACACAUGCAAGUCGAGGGGCAUCACGAGGAUAGCUUGCUAUCUUUGGUGGCGACCGGCGCACGGGUGAGUAACGCGUAUCCAACCUGCCAUUUACCGGGGCACAGCCCGUCGAAAGACGGAUUAACGCCCCAUGAGGUACACGGAUGACAUCAGAAGAGUACCAAACGUGAGGGUAGAUGAUGGGGAUGCGUCUGAUUAGGAAGUUGGCGGGGUAACGGCCCCCCAAUCCAUCGAUCAGUAGGGGUUCUGAGAGGAAGGUCCCCCACAUUGGAACUGAGACACGGUCCAAACUCCUACGGGAGGCAGCAGUGAGGAAUAUUGGUCAAUGGGCGCGAGCCUGAACCAGCCAAGUAGCGUGCAGGAAGACGGCCCUAUGGGUUGUAAACUGCUUUUAUACGGGGAUAAAGUGAGCCACGUGUGGUCUAUUGCAGGUACCGUAUGAAUAAGGACCGGCUAAUUCCGUGCCAGCGGCCGCGGUAAUACGGAAGGUCCGGGCGUUAUCCGGAUUUAUUGGGUUUAAAGGGAGCGUAGGCUGGCUGUUAAGCGUGCCGUGAAAUGCGUGGGCUCAACCGACGCACUGCGGCGCGAACUGGCGGUCUUGAGUUGGCGGGAAGUGCGCGGAAUUUGUGGUGUAGCGGUGAAAUGCUUAGAUAUCACGAAGAACUCCGAUUGCGAAGGCAGCGCGCUGCAGCCAUACUGACGCUGAAGCUCGAAAGCGCGGGUAUCGAACAGGAUUAGAUACCCUGGUAGUCCGCGCGGUAAACGAUGGAUGCUCGCUGUUGGCGAUACACGGUCAGCGGCCAAGCGAAAGCGUUAAGCAUCCCACCUGGGGAGUACGCCGGCAACGGUGAAACUCAAAGGAAUUGACGGGGGCCCGCACAAGCGGAGGAACAUGUGGUUUAAUUCGAUGAUACGCGAGGAACCUUACCCGGGCUUGAAUUGCAGGAGAACGAUACAGAGAUGUUGAGGCCCUUUGGGGCUCCUGUGAAGGUGCUGCAUGGUUGUCGUCAGCUCGUGCCGUGAGGUGUUGGCUUAAGUGCCAUAACGAGCGCAACCCCUUUCCUCAGUUGCCAUCGAGCGAUGCCGGGCACUCUGGGGACACUGCCUCCGUAAGGAGUGAGGAAGGUGGGGAUGACGUCAAAUCAGCACGGCCCUUACGUCCGGGGCUACACACGUGUUACAAUGGGACAUACAGCGCGUCGGCGUCCGGCAACGUGCGUCAAAUCGUGAAAGUGUCCCCCAGUUCGGAUUGGGGUCUGCAACCCGACCCCAUGAAGCUGGAUUCGCUAGUAAUCGCGCAUCAGCCAUGGCGCGGUGAAUACGUUCCCGGGCCUUGCACUCACCGCCCGUCAAG
rnacentral:rRNA from 1 species